rfam:Triticum aestivum genome assembly, contig: Triticum_aestivum_CS42_TGACv1_scaffold_320675_4BL
UUUAUACUCUCUCCGUCCGGAAAUACUUGUCGUAGAAAUGGAUGAAUCUAGAACAAAAAUACGUCUAGAUACAUCCAUCUCUCCGACGAGUAUUUCCGGACGGAGGGAGUACAAU